rnacentral:rRNA from 1 species
GACAAACGCUGGCGGCGUGUAUUAGGCAUGCAAGUCGUACGCACACUUCGGUGUGAGUGGCGGACGGGUGAGUAACACGUGGGUAACCUGCCCUUGGAGUGGGGAAUAACUCGCCGAAAGGCGAGCUAAUACCGCAUACCACCCCCGGUGAGAUUCCGGGUGGUAAAAGCAGUAAUGCGCUCUAGGAGGGGCCUGCGGCCGAUUAGCUUGUUGGUGGGGUAAUGGCUCACCAAGGCGACGAUCGGUAGCUGGUCUGAGAGGAUGGUCAGCCACACGGGGACUGAGAUACGGCCCCGACUCCUACGGGAGGCUG